rnacentral:rRNA from 1 species
GAUGAACGCUGGCGGCGUGCCUAAUACAUGCAAGUCGAGCGAACAGACGAGGAGCUUGCUCCUUUGACGUUAGCGGCGGACGGGUGAGUAACACGCGGGUAACCUACCUAUAAGACUGGGAUAACUUCGGGAAACCGGAGCUAAUACCGGAUAAUAUUUCGAACCGCAUGGUUCGAUAGUGAAAGAUGGCUUUGCUAUCACUUAUAGAUGGACCUGCGCCGUAUUAGCUAGUUGGUAAGGUAACGGCUUACCAAGGCAACGAUACGUAGCCGACCUGAGAGGGUGAUCGGCCACACUGGAACUGAGACACGGUCCAGACUCCUACGGGAGGCAGCAGUAGGGAAUCUUCCGCAAUGGGCGAAAGCCUGACGGAGCAACGCCGCGUGAGUGAUGAAGGUCUUCGGAUCGUAAAACUCUGUUAUUAGGGAAGAACAAACGUGUAAGUAACUGUGCACGUCUUGACGGUACCUAAUCAGAAAGCCACGGCUAACUACGUGCCAGCCGCCGCAGUAA